GUCCCUGUCGAUUAGUGGUCAAAUCAUCACGUUGUGGAGCUGAUAUAUCUUCUCCGUGAAGCCGGGAGCUCGAAUCUCCCCAGGGACA